CCUACGGGUGGCAGCAGUGGGGAAUAUUGCACAAUGGGGGCAACCCUGAUGCAGCGACGCCGCGUGAGUGAAGAAGUAAUUCGUUAUGUAAAGCUCUAUUAGCAGGGAAGAAAAUGACGGUAUCUGAGUAAGAAGCCCCGGCUAACUACGUGCCAGCAGCCGCGGUAAUAAGUAGGGGGCAAGCGCUAUCCGGAUUUACUGGGUGUAAAGGGAGCGUAGACGGGAGUGCAAGUCUGGAGUGAAAGGCGGGGGCUCAACCCCCGGACUGCUCUGGAAACUGUACGGCUGGAGUGCAGGAGAGGUAAGUGGAAUUCCUAGUGUAGCGGUGAAAUGCGUAGAUAUUAGGAGGAACACCAGUGGCGAAGGCGGCUUGCUGGACUGUAACUGACGGUGAGGCUCGAAAGCGUGGGGAGCAAACAGGAUUAGAUACCCCUGUAGUC
rnacentral:rRNA from 1 species